rnacentral:lncRNA from 1 species
GAAAAUGCUUUUGAAAAUGCUCUUGAAAAGCAAGGCCUUGUUAAUGUAUUAGUAAAGUUUUUCUAACUAAUUUUAUAGGCUUUCAUUACUUUCUUUCUUCCUUUUGAUUUGAUAGAUGGUUGUCACAAAUAUUCUUUCAAUUUAAUACAUAAAAGAGUAAUAGAAGAAUAAGAUGAAAAGGGCAUAAGCUUAACACCAUUUAGAAGUGCUUUGGCGCG